GAGCUUUAAAGGCAUGAUAUUCAUUCCCAUACUAAGGUCCCAUACUAAAAGCUUAACAUUUGUAGCCAUAUGACUUGACCUUUCUCUUUUACGUUAUGUUUAUUUUGUUAGGUAUCUUCAUAUCACAUAGCACAUCUAUAUACUCCUUCAUUUCAGUCAUCCUAUUUUAAUUUUGUGUGUUACGUCUUCACUACUAAGCCUAGUUAUCUUAGUUGUCUAUAUUUAAGUGUCACACCCUCACCUAAUUCACUUCACUCUUACUAAGCCUAGUUAUCUUAGUUGUCUAUAGUUAAGUGUCACACCCUCACCUAAUUCACUUCACUCUUUCUGUUUAUCAGGGUUCAACUUGCAGUGUGCAUAUUCUUCUUACUUAGUCAUAAAAAAAUCUUUAUUUCUAGGGUGACCUUUUUCACAGUUUCAAUUUUUGAUUGACUCCUUCACUAGCUUCAUCAAUUAACACAGUACUGUCAGCAC
rnacentral:lncRNA from 1 species